rnacentral:lncRNA from 10 species
CCUUCCUUCCUCCUUUUUUUCUAUCUUUUUUUUUGUUUGUUUGAGAUGGAGUCUCGCUCUGUUGGCCAGGCUGGAGUGUAGUGGCGCGAUCUUGGCUCACUGCAAAAUCUACCUCCCAGGUUCAAACGAUUCUUCUGCCUCAGCCUCCCGGGCAGCUGGGACUAUAGGCGCGCACCACCACACCCGGCUAAUUUUUGUAUUUUUAGUAGAGAUAAGGUUUCACCAUAUUGGCCAGGCUGGUCUUGAACUCCUGACCUCGUGAUCCACCCAUGUCGGCCUCCCAAAGUGCUGGGAUUACAGGCAUGAGCCACUGCGUCUGGCCCUUCCUUCCUUUUUCUUUUUUUUUCUUUUGUUUUUUUUGAGAUGGAGUCUUGCUCUGUCGCCCAGGCUGAAGGGCAGUGGCACAAUCUCGGCUCACUGCAAGCCUCGCCUCCAGGGUUCACGCCGUUCUCCUGCCCGGCUAAUUUUUUCUUUUUUUUUUUGUAUUUUUAGUGGAGACGAGGUUUCACCGUGUUAGCCAGGAUGGUCUUGAUCUCCUGACCUCGUUACCCGCCCGCCUUGGCCUCACAAAGCACUGGGAUUAUAGGCAUGAGCCACCGCACCGGCCCUUCCUUUCUUUUUCUUGUCUUUUUUGAGACAAGAUCUCACUCUGUCACCUAGGCUGGAGUGCACUGGUGCGAUCAUACCUCACUGCGGCCUCGAACUCCUGGGCCCAAGCAAUCCUCCUGCCUUGACCUCCUGAGUAGCUGGGCCUAUGGGUGGAAGCCACUGGGCCCAGCUGGGAGAUUUUAGUUUUGUUCAGUGUGCUAAGAGCUCAACACUUUGUUUAUUUUAAAAAUUUAUUUACUUAUUUAUUUUUUUGAGGCAGGGUCUUGCUCUGUUGCCCAGGCUGGAGUGCAGUGGUGUAAUCAUAGCUAACUGUAGCCUUGACGUCCAGGCUCAAGUGAUCCUCCCACCCCAGCCUCCUGAGUAGCUGGGACCACAGGCAAGUACCACUGUGCCCAGCUACUUAAAUUUUUUUUUUACAGAUGGGGUCUCCCUAUGUUGCCCAGGCUGGUCUCUAACUCCUGGGCUCAAGCAAUCCUCCUGCCUCAGUCUCCCAGAGUGCCAGGAUUACAGGCAUGAGCCAUGGUGCCUGGCCAAGUUAAACAUUUUGGAAACUCACUUCGUUGAAAGUCAUGCCGGUGGUGGCGUUAAAAAUGACCUGUAGGUGGGACUGUCAUACUUGUUUACAGGUGGGAGCACCUGGUGGCUCUCCUGGGCCUUCUUGGACCGCUGACCUUAGCACCUUCUUUCCUUCUUUCCUUUUUUUGUUUUGAUACCGAGUCUCACUCUGUCGCCCAGGCUGGAGUGCAGUGGUUUGAUCGCAGCUCACUGUAACCUCUGCCUCCCGGGUCCAAGUGAUUGUCCUGUCUCAGCCUCCCGAGUAGCUGGGACUACAGGCACCUGCCACCAUGCCUGGCUAAUUUUUUGUAUUUUUAGUAUGGAUGGGGUUUCACCAUGUUGGUCAGGCUGGUCUUGAACUCCUGACCUCAGGUGAUCCACCCGCCUCGGCCUCCCAAAAUGCUGGGAUUAUAGGCAUGAGCCACUGUGCUUGGCCACUUUUUUUUUUUUUUUUUUUUUGAGACACAGUCUUGCUCUAUCGCCCAGGCUGGAGUGCAGUGGUGAGAUCUCAGCUCACUGCAACCUCUGCUUCCCGGAUUCAAGCGAUUCUCAUGCCUCAGCCUCCUGAGUACCUGGGAUUAUAGGCGUGCACCACCACGCCCAGCUAACGUUUUGUAAUUUUAGUAGAGACAGGAUUUUUCUUUUUCUUUCUUUCUUUCUUUUUUUUUUGAGAUGGAGUGUCUCUCUUGUUAUCUGGGCUGGAGUGCAAUGAUGUGAUCUCAGCUCACUGCAACCUUCGCCUCCCGGGUUCAAGCGAUUUUCCUGCCUCAGCCUCCCUAGUAGCUGGGGUUACAGGAGCCCAUCAACACGCCCAGCUAAUUUUUUUUGUAUUUUUAGUAGAGAUGGGCUUUCACUAUGUUGGUCAGGCUGGUCUGGAACUCCUGACCUCAGGCGAUCCCCCUGCCUCAGCCUCCCAAAGUGCUGGGAUUACAGGGGUGAGCCACCGCGCCUGGCUUGAGACAGGGUUUUUCUAUGUUGGCCAGGCUGGUCUCAAACUCCUAGCCUCAGGUGAUCCACCCGCCUUGGCUUCUCAAAGUGCUGAGAUUAUAGGCAUGAGCCACUGCGCUUUGGCCUGACCCUAGCACUCUCAUAUUUGGACACACAUUUUAUUGUAAGGUCUUCAUUACAGGCAAUCACAUUGAUUCUUUUUGAAACUAUGGGAGUUGAGUGUGUCCAUUGUCUGAGGUUAAUGUCGGGAUUUAAAGGAGGCCUAAUUAGGUGUUUUUAUAAGAAGUGGGUGCUGGCCGGGCAUGGCGGCUCAUGCCUAUAAUCCCAGCACUUUGGGAGGCCAAGGUGGAUGGAUCACUUGAGGUCAGGAGUUCGAGACCAGCCUGGCCAACAUGGUGAAACCCCGUCUCUACUAAAAAUACAAAAAUUAGCCAGGCGUGGUGUCAGGCGCCUGUAAUCCCAGCUACUUGGGAGGCUGAGGCAGGAGAAUCGCUUGAACCCAGGAGGCAGAGGUUGCAGUGAGCCAAGAUCAUGCCAUUGCACUUCAGCCUGGGCGACAGGAGUGAAACCCUGUCUUGAAAACAACAAAAAAAGAAGGAGGUGCUGACUGGGAUGCACUGAGAGUCCCUGGGGUGCGUCAGGAGAUGACAGAAUCCUGGGGAGCAGUGGCAUGGAGGGGUUGAAGUUGACACCCACCACAGACUGGCUGAGUAGGAACUGCCAGGGAAGUCAGAGGCAAAACCCGGACCAGGCAGGGGAGGCCCAGAUGGGACGAGGGUGGGUUAGGAGCCAUCGACUCAACCCUGAAGAGCGUCUGAGCUCACUGGAGACUAAGAGGGGCCCCAGGGUCAGAAGCAGGAUUGGGAGGCUAGGAGGUAUAGACAGGAAUGAGGAUCUGGCUGAGAAGGGGAAGAGGGAGAGAGGCUGUGGGGGAGAAGUGGGGUCAGGGGAGCCCGUGUUUCCUGUUUUUUUUUUGUUGUUGUUUUGAGACAGAGUCUCGCUCUGUCACCCAGGCUGGAGUGCAGUGGUAUGAUUUCGGCUCACUGCAACCUCCGCCUCCCGGGUUCAAGUGAUUCUCCUGCCUCAGCCUCCCAAGUAACUGGAAUUACAGGCGCCUGCCACCAAGCCAGGCUGAUUUUUGUGUUUUUAGUAGAGACAGGAUUUCACCACGUUGGACACGCUCAUCUCGAACUCCCAACCUCAGGUGAUCCGCCCACCUCAGCCUCCCACUGUGCUGGGAUUACAGGCAUGAGCCACUGUGUCCGGCCAGAGACAGGGAUUUCACCAUGUUGGCCAGGCUGGUCUGUAACUCCUGACCUCAAGUUCAAGUGAUCCACCCACCUCAGCCUCCCAAAGUGCUGGGAGUACAGGCGUGAGCCACCACGCCUGGCUCAUUUCAUUUUCAAGAUGGGGAGACCAGAUGGUUGAUGAGAAGAGACAAUAAAAAUUGUGGGCAGGUUGGGUGCAGUAGCUCACGCCUGUAAUCCCAGCACUUUGGGAGGUUGACUCGGGCAGAUCAACUGAGGUUGGGAGUUUGAGACCAGCCUGACCAACG